CAUUUCUUCUCUUCGUUUCUUCUUUCUUCUUCUGAUUUCUUCUUCUUUCUUUUCUUCUCCGUUUCUUCUCUGUAGAAAGUGAUUGAUGAUUUGAGAGAGAGAGAUAGAGAGAGAGUCAAUCGAUGAAAUAAGAAGAUGAACUAGGAGGUGUGCUGAUGUUGAUGAAGAGAUGAUAGGGGUAUUGAUUCAUGGUUAAACAGAGUUAGGGCUUCAUCUGAUUUCGAGGUUGUUUGGAGUAGGAUAAGUUUAUUGGGUCGAUGUUUGAUGAGAAUUAAGAGGGGUUGUUGUUGAAAUAUCGAUUGGAGGCUAUUAUGAUGAAGAAUCACAGAACCAGUCAAUCUUUAUUAACACCGAUCGAUCUAAAGAAUGAACCAUUGGAUUAUGGAUCUCAAGGUAUGCGAGGCUUGUCAUCAAAAGAGUUUCAGAAACAGAUUCAGAUCAAGUUGUGCACGUGGCGAU